GGUUAAGCGACUAAGCGUACACGGUGGAUGCCCUGGCAGUCAGAGGCGAUGAAGGACGUGCUAAUCUGCGAUAAGCGUCGGUAAGGUGAUAUGAACCGUUAUAACCGGCGAUUUCCGAAUGGGGAAACCCAGUGUGUUUCGACACACUAUCAUUAACUGAAUCCAUAGGUUAAUGAGGCGAACCGGGGGAACUGAAACAUCUAAGUACCCCGAGGAAAAGAAAUCAACCGAGAUUCCCCCAGUAGCGGCGAGCGAACGGGGAGCAGCCCAGAGCCUGAAUCAGUGUGUGUGUUAGUGGAAGCGUCUGGAAAGGCGCGCGAUACAGGGUGACAGCCCCGUACACAAAAAUGCACAUACUGUGAGCUCGAUGAGUAGGGCGGGACACGUGGUAUCCUGUCUGAAUAUGGGGGGACCAUCCUCCAAGGCUAAAUACUCCUGACUGACCGAUAGUGAACCAGUACCGUGAGGGAAAGGCGAAAAGAACCCCGGCGAGGGGAGUGAAAAAGAACCUGAAACCGUGUACGUACAAGCAGUGGGAGCCUCUUAAUGGGGUGACUGCGUACCUUUUGUAUAAUGGGUCAGCGACUUAUAUUCUGUAGCAAGGUUAACCGAAUAGGGGAGCCGAAGGGAAACCGAGUCUUAACUGGGCGUUAAGUUGCAGGGUAUAGACCCGAAACCCGGUGAUCUAGCCAUGGGCAGGUUGAAGGUUGGGUAACACUAACUGGAGGACCGAACCGACUAAUGUUGAAAAAUUAGCGGAUGACUUGUGGCUGGGGGUGAAAGGCCAAUCAAACCGGGAGAUAGCUGGUUCUCCCCGAAAGCUAUUUAGGUAGCGCCUCGUGAAUUCAUCUCCGGGGGUAGAGCACUGUUUCGGCAAGGGGGUCAUCCCGACUUACCAACCCGAUGCAAACUGCGAAUACCGGAGAAUGUUAUCACGGGAGACACACGGCGGGUGCUAACGUCCGUCGUGAAGAGGGAAACAACCCAGACCGCCAGCUAAGGUCCCAAAGUCAUGGUUAAGUGGGAAACGAUGUGGGAAGGCCCAGACAGCCAGGAUGUUGGCUUAGAAGCAGCCAUCAUUUAAAGAAAGCGUAAUAGCUCACUGGUCGAGUCGGCCUGCGCGGAAGAUGUAACGGGGCUAAACCAUGCACCGAAGCUGCGGCAGCGACACUAUGUGUUGUUGGGUAGGGGAGCGUUCUGUAAGCCUGUGAAGGUGUACUGUGAGGUAUGCUGGAGGUAUCAGAAGUGCGAAUGCUGACAUAAGUAACGAUAAAGCGGGUGAAAAGCCCGCUCGCCGGAAGACCAAGGGUUCCUGUCCAACGUUAAUCGGGGCAGGGUGAGUCGACCCCUAAGGCGAGGCCGAAAGGCGUAGUCGAUGGGAAACAGGUUAAUAUUCCUGUACUUGGUGUUACUGCGAAGGGGGGACGGAGAAGGCUAUGUUGGCCGGGCGACGGUUGUCCCGGUUUAAGCGUGUAGGCUGGUUUUCCAGGCAAAUCCGGAAAAUCAAGGCUGAGGCGUGAUGACGAGGCACUACGGUGCUGAAGCAACAAAUGCCCUGCUUCCAGGAAAAGCCUCUAAGCAUCAGGUAACAUCAAAUCGUACCCCAAACCGACACAGGUGGUCAGGUAGAGAAUACCAAGGCGCUUGAGAGAACUCGGGUGAAGGAACUAGGCAAAAUGGUGCCGUAACUUCGGGAGAAGGCACGCUGAUAUGUAGGUGAAGUCCCUUGCGGAUGGAGCUGAAAUCAGUCGAAGAUACCAGCUGGCUGCAACUGUUUAUUAAAAACACAGCACUGUGCAAACACGAAAGUGGACGUAUACGGUGUGACGCCUGCCCGGUGCCGGAAGGUUAAUUGAUGGGGUUAGCGGUAACGCGAAGCUCUUGAUCGAAGCCCCGGUAAACGGCGGCCGUAACUAUAACGGUCCUAAGGUAGCGAAAUUCCUUGUCGGGUAAGUUCCGACCUGCACGAAUGGCGUAAUGAUGGCCAGGCUGUCUCCACCCGAGACUCAGUGAAAUUGAACUCGCUGUGAAGAUGCAGUGUACCCGCGGCAAGACGGAAAGACCCCGUGAACCUUUACUAUAGCUUGACACUGAACAUUGAGCCUUGAUGUGUAGGAUAGGUGGGAGGCUUUGAAGUGUGGACGCCAGUCUGCAUGGAGCCGGCCUUGAAAUACCACCCUUUAAUGUUUGAUGUUCUAACGUUGGCCCCUGAUCGGGGUUGCGGACAGUGUCUGGUGGGUAGUUUGACUGGGGCGGUCUCCUCCUAAAGAGUAACGGAGGAGCACGAAGGUUGGCUAAUCCUGGUCGGACAUCAGGAGGUUAGUGCAAUGGCAUAAGCCAGCUUGACUGCGAGCGUGACGGCGCGAGCAGGUGCGAAAGCAGGUCAUAGUGAUCCGGUGGUUCUGAAUGGAAGGGCCAUCGCUCAACGGAUAAAAGGUACUCCGGGGAUAACAGGCUGAUACCGCCCAAGAGUUCAUAUCGACGGCGGUGUUUGGCACCUCGAUGUCGGCUCAUCACAUCCUGGGGCUGAAGUAGGUCCCAAGGGUAUGGCUGUUCGCCAUUUAAAGUGGUACGCGAGCUGGGUUUAGAACGUCGUGAGACAGUUCGGUCCCUAUCUGCCGUGGGCGCUGGAGAACUGAGGGGGGCUGCUCCUAGUACGAGAGGACCGGAGUGGACGCAUCACUGGUGUUCGGGUUGUCAUGCCAAUGGCACUGCCCGGUAGCUAAAUGCGGAAGAGAUAAGUGCUGAAAGCAUCUAAGCACGAAACUUGCCCC
rnacentral:rRNA from 1 species